rnacentral:rRNA from 1 species
GUACUGUGCAAACGUUGUUCGGAAUCACUGGGCUUAAAGGGUACGUAGGCGGCCAGUUAAGUAGGGUGUGAAAUCCCCCGGCUCAACCGGGGAACUGCGCUCUAAACUGACUGGCUUGAGUGAGAUAGGGGUGUGCGGAACUUCCAGUGGAGCGGUGAAAUGUGUUGAUAUUGGAAGGAACGCCGUUAGCGAAAGCGGCACACUGGGUCUCAACUGACGCUGAGGUACGAAAGCCAGGGUAGCGAACGGGAUUAGAUACCCCGGGUAGUCCUGGCUGUAAACGUUGAGCACUAGUCGGGAGGGGUUUCGGCCCCUUCCGGACGCAGCGAAAGCACUAAGUGCUCCGCCUGGGGAGUAUGGUCGCAAGGCUG